rnacentral:rRNA from 1 species
GUGGGGAAUCUUCCGCAAUGGACGAAAGUCUGACGGAGCAACGCCGCGUGAGUGAAGAAGGUUUUCGGAUCGUAAAGCUCUUUCGUUAGGGACGAACGUGCUCUUUGUGAAUAAUGAGGAGUAAUGACGGUACCUAAAUAAGAAGCCACGGCUAACUACGUGCCAGCAGCCGCGGUAAUACGUAGGUGGCAAGCGUUGUCCGGAAUUAUUGGGCGUAAAGCGCGCGCAGGCGGGAUAUCAAGUCUGUCUUAAAAGUGCGAGGCUCAAGCUAGGGAGGGGACAGAAACUGGUAUUCUUGAGUGUCGGAGAGGAAAGUGGAAUUCCAAGUGUAGCGGUGAAAUGCGUAGAGAUUUGGAAGAACACCAGUGGCGAAGGCGACUUUCUGGACGAUGUCUGACGCUGAGGCGCGAAAGCUAGGGGAGCGAACGGGAUUAGAUACCCUGGUAGUCC